UCCAAGCUGUCGAAAAGAAGCUAUCUGGCAGCUUUCAGCUUCAUCCAACACAUGAAUGAUAAAAAAGAAUUCUCCUUUCCACCUGGCACAGCGCCCAACCCAAGCCCCUACCGCAGUGAGUUUUUUCCAUUUAACCAAAGUGUGGCUUUAGCCUUCAUGAGACCCCCAGUGGGUGACGAAUUCCAGCCGGCUUUCCCGACCCUGCUGUGGAAAGCAAAGAGUCUUUAGAUUUGUGGGGAUCAACAUCCGGAUUUGGCUUAAUGUGGGGGCUCACGGAGACCAUCCAUUCCUGGAGGGAGAGAGGAGGAGGAAGAGAAGGAGGAGGAGGAGCGAGGAGACCCUUUCCCCCAAGUGAGUUCGGCAGCUUGAAACAUAAGAUGGAGUCCUCCUGCCCAGCCCAGCUAGUUUGACUGUAUCUUUGGGGCUUGACUAUGGAAAGACUCCAGGAAGCAGUUCUACUGAUGUGAGAAUUUUCUGGGAGGACACAGACACCUUCAGCAUUGCUGGGAUCUAUCCGCCGACUGAAUUUAAAUGCAAAUCUCAAAAUGUGUCCCAUUGCUAGGUCUCCCGGGUACCGCUGCCCUAUCUCUCCUGUCAGUCAGUCAUACUAAGUACUUGGGAGAGUUUAAUAUAAGAGUAUAACGGAUGCAUUCCCUGCCCACAAAGAACUUACUGUCUACAGUGUUGUGUACACACAGUGUGCUGUGCAUUGCACCAGACACUUGAAAGUUAGAAAUCAAUGAGUGUGAUAUGGUCACUGCCCUCAAGAAGCAAACAAUCCAAGAGGGAAAUGGGAACAAUUAAUCCUGGAGGCAACAUCUUAAACAUUAAGAGCGUCCCAUUAAUUGACUAAACCAUCUGGACUGGGGUUGGCUAGGAGACAGUAAACCCUCCGGAGAAUUCAA